rnacentral:rRNA from 1 species
UAGUAGCGCGCUCAAGACCCGAAGCGGAGUGAUCUAGCCAUGGGCAGGUUGAAGCGCGGGUAAGACCGUGUGGAGGACCGAACCCACCAGGGUUGAAAACCUGGGGGAUGACCUGUGGUUAGGGGUGAAAGGCCAAUCAAACUCCGUGAUAGCUGGUUCUCCCCGAAAUGCAUUUAGGUGCAGCGUCGUGUGUUUCUUGCCGGAGGUAGAGCACUGGAUAGGCGAUGGGCCCUACCGGGUUACUGACCUUAGCCAAACUCCGAAUGCCGGUAAGUGAGAGCGCGGCAGUGAGACUGUGGGGGAUAAGCUCCAUGGUCGAGAGGGAAACAGCCCAGAGCAUCGACUAAGGCCCCUAAGCGUACGCUAAGUGGGAAAGGAUGUGGAGUCGCAGAGACAACCAGGAGGUUGGCUUAGAAGCAGCCAUCCUUGAAAGAGUGCGUAAUAGCUCACUGGUCAAGUGAUUCCGCGCCGACAAUGUAGCGGGGCUCAAGCGUACCGCCGAAGUCGUGUCAUUCCAGCAUGAGGUCCAACGACCGUUGGGAUGGGUAGGGGAGCGUCGUGUGCCGGGUGAAGCCGCGCCGGAAGGCAGUGGUGGACGGUUCACGAGUGAGAAUGCAGGCAUGAGUAGCGAUACACACGUGGGAAACGUGUGCGCCGAUUGACUAAGGGUUCCUGGGUCAAGCUGAUCUGCCCAGGGUAAGUCGGGACCUAAGGCGAGGCCGACAGGCGUAGUCGAUGGACAACCGGUUGAUAUUCCGGUACCCGCUUUGAAGCGCCAGCGCUGAACCUUCUGAUGCUAAGUCCGUGAAGCCGCCGGCUGAGUCUUCGGACGAGGUCGGAGUGGUGGAGCCGACG